rnacentral:rRNA from 1 species
AUGCACAACGUCAUCCACAUAGAUGAGAAGUGGUUCUAUCGCACUCAGAAGAAUCAAAAAUUCUAUUUGGGUCUCAACGAGGAAGAUCCGAAGCGUACCACACAAAACAAGAAUUACAUUGAAAAAGUGAUGUUCCUUGCUGCGGUGGCGAGGCCUCGAUACGAUGAUGAUGGCAACAUGACAUUUGAUGGCAAGAUUGGCAUAUGGCCUUUUACAUUCCUAGAGGAGGCUAAGAGGGAUAGCAAGAACCGCGAUGCAGGAACAAUUGUUACUAAGGUGUUGCCGGCAGUGACAAGGAAAGUUAGCCAAGAUUACAUGGUGAACAAACUUCUUCCUGCCAUUAAGGAGAAGUGGCAUGUUUCGGACCGCGGUUAUCCUAUAAUCAUACAACAGGAUAAUGCCAAAACUCAUAUUCCCGUCAAUGAUCCUAUGUUUUGUGAAGCCGCAAUGGCAGAUGGAUGGAACAUUAGGUUGACGUGCGAACCACCUAAUUCUCCUGAUCUGAACAUAUUGAACCUAGGGUUUUUUGCAGCCCUGCAAGCUUUAUUUCAGAAUUUGUUCCCAGGUUCACUAGAUGACAUUGUUACCAAGGUGCUCCAAGCAUAUGGAGAGUACCCCCCUGAGAGGUGCAACCGCAUCUUCCUCACUUUGCAGUCCUGUAUGCGGGAGAUACUGAAACUUAAUGGCGGCCAACACUACAAGGUUCCACACAUGAGGAAGAUGGCCCUAGCAGGAGCUAGCCUUCUCCCAACUAGGUUACCAUGUGAUCCAGCAAUUGUAAAUGCCGCGAUCGAGUUCCUAAGUGCCACCAUCUAG